AGCGGGGAAGGGUAGCUUGCUACCUAACCUAGCGGCGGACGGGUGAGUAAUGCUUAGGAAUCUGCCUAUUAGUGGGGGACAACAUUCCGAAAGGAAUGCUAAUACCGCAUACGCCCUACGGGGGAAAGCAGGGGAUCUUCGGACCUUGCGCUAAUAGAUGAGCCUAAGUCAGAUUAGCUAGUUGGUGGGGUAAAGGCCUACCAAGGCGACGAUCUGUAGCGGGUCUGAGAGGAUGAUCCGCCACACUGGGACUGAGACACGGCCCAGACUCCUACGGGAGGCAGCAGUGGGGAAUAUUGGACAAUGGGCGCAAGCCUGAUCCAGCCAUGCCGCGUGUGUGAAGAAGGCCUUUUGGUUGUAAAGCACUUUAAGCGAGGAGGAGGCUACUGGUAUUAAUACUACCGGAUAGUGGACGUUACUCGCAGAAUAAGCACCGGCUAACUCUGUGCCAGCAGCCGCGGUAAUACAGAGGGUGCGAGCGUUAAUCGGAUUUACUGGGCGUAAAGCGUGCGUAGGCGGCUUUUUAAGUCGGAUGUGAAAUCCCUGAGCUUAACUUAGGAAUUGCAUUCGAUACUGGGAAGCUAGAGUAUGGGAGAGGAUGGUAGAAUUCCAGGUGUAGCGGUGAAAUGCGUAGAGAUCUGGAGGAAUACCGAUGGCGAAGGCAGCCAUCUGGCCUAAAUACUGACGCUGAGGUACGAAAGCAUGGGGAGCAAACAGGAUUAGAUACCCUGGUAGUCCAUGCCGU
rnacentral:rRNA from 1 species